rnacentral:rRNA from 1 species
UCGAACGGUAACAGGAAGCAGCUUGCUGCUUUGCUGACGAGUGGCGGACGGGUGAGUAAUGUCUGGGAAACUGCCUGAUGGAGGGGGAUAACUACUGGAAACGGUAGCUAAUACCGCAUAACGUCGCAAGACCAAAGAGGGGGACCUUCGGGCCUCUUGCCAUCGGAUGUGCCCAGAUGGGAUUAGCUAGUAGGUGGGGUAACGGCUCACCUAGGCGACGAUCCCUAGCUGGUCUGAGAGGAUGACCAGCCACACUGGAACUGAGACACGGUCCAGACUCCUACGGGAGGCAGCAGUGGGGAAUAUUGCACAAUGGGCGCAAGCCUGAUGCAGCCAUGCCGCGUGUAUGAAGAAGGCCUUCGGGUUGUAAAGUACUUUCAGCGGGGAGGAAGGCGUUGAGGUUAAUAACCUUGUCGAUUGACGUUACCCGCAGAAGAAGCACCGGCUAACUCCGUGCC